rnacentral:rRNA from 1 species
AGUUCCUACGGAACGCAGCAGUGAGGAAUAUUGGUCAAUGGCCGAGAGGCUGAACCAGCCAAGUCGCGUGAGGGAUGACGGCCCUACGGGUUGUAAACCUCUUUUGUCGGGGAGCAAGACCCGCCUCGUGCAGGCGGAGCGAGAGUACCCGAAGAAAAAGCAUCGGCUAACUCCGUGCCAGCAGCCGCGGUAAUACGGAGGAUGCGAGCGUUAUCCGGAUUUAUUGGGUUUAUAGGGUGCGCAGGCGGACCCUCACGUCAGCGGUAAAAUCG